UUAAGUAACUCACCAAAUGUAUGGAAGGCUUAAUAAAUUGUGUGUGAACCACUUAAGUUGAUGAAGAGAUGGGAGAAUGUGAAAAAUUCACCAAAUAAAGUGUAAGCAAAAGCGAUUGCAAUUUUAAACUUAAAAAAAGAUUUAAAACAAAAUUAAAGAAAAAAUAAACAGAUUUCAAACAAACGUUAAGUUUAAUAUUUGAGAAAAAAAACCAAAAAAAAAAAGUUUUUUAAAUUAAAAAAAAAAAAAACACGCGAGACAUACAAGUAAAGAAUGACCGAGAUAAAUAAAUGAAUAAAAAAAAUUAAAAAUACAUCCCCAGCUAAAAAUUUAAACUGUGCUACCUAUAAAAAUUUUAAACAAAUAUAUAAUUGUGAAAUAAAUAAAAAAAAAAAUUUAAAAAUACAUCCCAUGCAAAAAUUUAAAAAUGUUUGACCUAUAAAAAUUGUUUAAUUGUGAAAAGUUUUAAGAAAAUCCAAAAUACUCUCCAAAGACAGUGCUGUGAAGUUUUUAAAAGCCGCAACAUCUCUACCGACAAACUCAACAUACCUUCACACAAAGUAAGAGCUCGAGUAAUCACCAGAACCACGGCAACCUGUUAUUGGUGUUAAAAGUACUUAAUGCGAGCUUAACCCAGGCAAUCAGAAAACAGCCAACAAUAUCUUGCAGGCAUGGUGAAUUUGUAAUCAUAAUAAAGUGUUUUAAAUUAACCUUAAUAUCGAAAACAAAGUAAAUGAAUUAAUUUCUAUUAAGUGGCGAAGAUUGCAUCUAAACAAUUCCCAGACUUUUGCAGACUACUUUGUGUGAGACCACAGAAUACCAAGAUUGCAGUGUGUGGCAAAAAUCGAAACGAAUGUACGAACAAAUCAUCGAAAAAUAUUUCAAUUGCCUGUGAAUCACUUACAAGCACUUCAUAUUUAUAUGAAUACCCAAAGAAAAAAAUAUCGAAUUUAAUGAAAAUAUUUAAUUAAAUAUUCAUAAAUAAAGAUAUAAAUAUGGCCUGACUACAACGAAAUUCCCCAUAAAAGCAAAAAAAAAAACAAGUCAGGAAAGAAAAGUGAACCUAAAUUAAAACACCCCCACCUUGUGGGCACCUCAACUCUCGCCAUACCCACUAAAAACAAAAAUAUUUGAACAAAUUCUGUUCAUAAUAACACAAAACCAUUACAAAAUGAGAAUUUAUGAACGUCAAUUGAGUGCAUGGUUUCCUUUGCUAACAAAGCGUGAGAAAAAUUAAAUUUUUUCAAAUAAUAUUAAAUUACCUUUUUUGUAACGCCUUCGUUGGGAGGCAAUACGGUGCAAAAUCAAAUAAAAAAUUUCGGUGGCCGGAAAAUUAACCAAACAUUUGGUGUCGGAAAUUAUCGUCAUUAUCAAGAUUAUCAUCGCUACCUUUCACGGCUUGACUGCCCAGACCUGCUGCUGCAUCAAACCAUUUUUUGCUAAGGAAAAUCGUUUAACAUUUAACAACGAACCAACAAACAGGCUAACAAGGUAGCCAAUUUAAUGUGCUAUUUAAUGGAAAUUGCGGUUAUAUUUGCUAUUUAUAAUGUCAGGUGUCCACUUCAUGCCACAAGACUAAAAGUCGAAUGAGGAAGUAACACAUGAUUGUCGCCCUCAUUAGUUAGAAGAUAACCACUAUCGAUUAAAUG